GAUGAACGCUGGCGGCGUGCCUAAUACAUGCAAGUCGAGCGAACAGACGAGGAGCUUGCUCCUCUGACGUUAGCGGCGGACGGGUGAGUAACACGUGGAUAACCUACCUAUAAGACUGGGAUAACUUCGGGAAACCGGCGCUAAUACCGGAUAAUAUAUUGAACCGCAUGGUUCAAUAGUGAAAGACGGUUUUGCUGUCACUUAUAGAUGGAUCCGCGCCGCAUUAACUAGUUGGUAAGGUAACGGCUUACCAAGGCAACGAUGCGUAGCCGACCUGAGAGGGUGAUCGGCCACACUGGAACGGAGACACGGUCCAGACUCCUACGGGAGGCAGCAGUAGGGAAUCUUCCGCAAUGGGCGAAAGCCUGACGGAGCAACGCCGCGUGAGUGAUGAAGGUCUUCGGAUCGUAAAACUCUGUUAUUAGGGAAGAACAAAUGUGUAAGUAACUAUGCACGUCUUGACGGUACCUAAUCAGAAAGCCACGGCUAACUACGUG
rnacentral:rRNA from 1 species